UGAUGUCGAUGGACCGAUUGAUA
rnacentral:siRNA from 1 species